GAGGAAAGUCCGGGCAACAUUGGGCAUCGUGCCGCAUGAAUAGUGCGGGCAUCUUGGCGGUAACGUUAGGAUGACAGACAGUACCACAGAAAAUAGGUAGCUCAGGCUGACUCGUUCAGUCAGGGUGAUAGUGAAAAGGCGGGGUAAGAGCCCACCGGCCGGCCAGUAAUAAAAGGCGCAUGGUAAACCUCGCGAGUUGAAAGGUCAAAUAGGCCCUGAUAAAAUGAACGGCCCGUUCUUACCUGUUAAACCAGGUAUCAGGGUGGGUAGACCGAUUGAUCCUGACGGUAACGUCAGGACAAGAUAAAUGAUGAGCAUGCUGAGCAAUCAGUGAACAGAACCCGGCUU
rnacentral:RNase_P_RNA from 1 species